ACUUCUUGGGAACAUUGGUGAUUCCUUUUGAGUGUAAAUGCUUUCAAUAAAUGUUCAUAGACAUUCACUAAACAGGUCAGUUCACUAUAUUCUCGUAACCAUGGACUAGCUGUAGUUCAUUGGCAUGUAAUUAAUAGGUCCCACCCAUCAAAUUACUCUCUUACAAAUGAUAUAUAUAAUGCGGACAAAUAUUAAUAAAACAUCAGAAAAUGACCAACACAUUGUUGUUUGAGCAGAAAUCCACUCAUUCUUGUGUUCAUGAAAUUGACGGAUGAUGAAAAACCAAAAAAGUCCAUGCUGACAAAUAUAAAUGAUUUGGCAGUUAAAGAACUACUUGUAUCAAUGAAGCAGUGAUAUGGCAGUAGUAGAGCUACAUGUAAGCAGUGGUAUGGCAGUAAUAGAGUUACAUGUAUCAAUGAAGCAGUGGUAUGGCAGUAAUAGAGCUGCAUGUAUCAAUGAAGCAGUGGUAUGUCAGUUAUAGAGCUACAUGUAUCAAUGAAGCAGUGGUAUGGCAGUAGUAGAGCUACAUGUAUCAAUGAAGCAGUGGUAUGGCAGUAAUAGAGUUGCAUGUAUCAAUGAAGCAGUGGUAUGGCAGUAAUAGAGCUGCAUGUAUCAAUGAAGCAGUGGUAUGGCAGUAAUAGAGCUACAUGUACCAAUUGAGCAGUGAUAUGGCAGUAAUAGAGCUACUUGUAUCAAUGAAGCAGUGGUAUGGCAGUAAUAGAGCUACAUGUAUCAAUAAAGCAGUGGUAUGGCAGUAGUAGAGCUACAUGUAUCAAUGAAGCAGUGAUAUGGCAGUGAUAGAGCUACAUGUAUCAUUGAAGCAGUGGUAUGGCAGUAAGAGAGCUACAUGUAUCAAUGAAGCAGUGGUAUGGCAGUAAUAGAGCUGCAUGUAUCAAUGAAGCAGUGGUAUGGCAGUAAUAUAGCUACAUGUAUCAAUGAAGCAGUGGUAUGGCUGUAAUAGAGCUACAUGUAGCAAUGAAGCAGUGAUAUGGCAGUAAUAGAGCUACAUGUAUCAAUGAAGCAGUUGUAUAGCAGUAAUAGAGCUACAUGUAUCAAUGAAGCAGUGGUAUGGCAGUAGGAGAGCUACAUGUAUCAAUGAAGCAGUGAUAUGGCAGUAAUAGAGCUACAUGUAUCAAUGAAGCAUUGGUAUGGCAGUAAUAGAGCUACAUGUAUCAAUGAAGCAGUGGUAUGGCAGUAAUAGGGCUACAUGUAUCAAUGAAGCAGUGGUAUGGUAGUAAUAGAGCUGCAUGUAUCAAUGAAGCAGUGGUAUGGCAGUAAUAGAGCUGCAUGUAUCAAUGAAGCAGUGGUAUGUCAGUUAUAGAGCUACAUGUAUCAAUGAAGCAGUGGUAUGGUAGUAAUAGAGCUGCAUGUAUCAAUGAAGCAGUGGUAUGGUAGUAAUAGAGCUGCUUGUAUCAAUGAAGCAGUGGUAUGGUAGUAAUAGAGCUGCAUGUAUCAAUGAAGCAGUGGUAUGGCAGUUAUAGAGCUGCAUGUAUCAAAUGAAGCAGUGGUAUGGCUGUAAUAGAACUACAUGUAUCAAUGAAGCAGUGGUAUGGAGGUUAUAGAGCUACAUGUAUCAAUGAAGCAGUGGUAUGGCAGUUAUAGAGCUACAUGUAUCAAUGAAGCAGUGGUAUGGCAGCAAUAGAGCUGCAUCUAUCAAUGAAGCAGUGGCAUGGCAGUAAUAGAGCUACAUGUAUCAAUGAAGCAGUGGUAUGGCAGUGAAAGAGCUACAUGUAUCAAUGAAGCAGUGGUAUGGCAGUAAUAGAGCUACAUGUACCAAUGAAGCAGUCGUAUAGCAGUUAUAGAGCUUCAUGUAUCAAUGAAGCAGUGGUUAGGCAGUAAUAGAGCUACUUGUAUCAAUGAAGCAGUGGUAUGGCAGUAAUAGAGCUACUUGUAUCAAUAAAGCAGUGGUAUGGCAGUAAUAGAGCUACUUGUAUCAAUGAAGCAGUGGUAUGGCAGUAAUAGAGCUACUUGUAUCAAUGAAGCAGUGGUAUGGCAGUAAAAGAGCUAUAUGUAUCAAUGAAGCAGUGGUAUGGCAGUAAAAGAGCUACAUGUAUCAAUGAAGCAGUUGUAUAGCAUUAAUAGAGCUUCAUGUAUCAAUGAAGCAGUGGUAUGGCUGUUAUAGAGCUACAUGUACCAAUUGAGCAGUGAUAUGGCAGUAAUAGAGCUACAUGUUUCAAUUAAGCAGUGGUAUGGCAGUAAUAGAGCUACAUGUAUCAAUGAAGCAGUGGUAUGGCAGUGAUAGAGCUGCAUGUAUCAAUGAAACAGUGGUAUGGCAGUAAUAGAGCUGCAUGUAUCAAUGAAGCAGUGGUAUUGUAGUAAUAGAGCUACAUGUAUCAAUGAAGCAGUGGUAUGGCAGUAGUAGAGCUACAUGUAUCAAUGAAGCAGUGAUAUGGCAGUGAUAGAGCUACAUGUAUCAUUGAAGCAGUGGUAUGGCAGUAAUAGAGCUACAUGUAUCAAUGAAGCAGUGGUAUGGCAGUAAUAGAGCUGCAUGUAUCAAUGAAGCAGUGGUAUGGCAGUAAUAAAGCUACAUGUAUCAAUGAAGCAGUGGUAUGGCUGUAAUAGAGCUACAUGUAGCAAUGAAGCAGUGAUAUGGCAGUAAUAGAGCUACAUGUAUCAAUGAAGCAGUUGUAUAGCAGUAAUAGAGCUACAUGUAUCAAUGAAGCAGUGGUAUGGCAGUAGUAGAGCUACAUGUAUCAAUGAAGCAGUGAUAUGGCAGUGAUAGAGCUACAUGUAUCAAUGAAGCAGUGGUAUGGCAGUAAUAGGGCUACAUGUAUCAAUGAAGCAGUGGUAUGGUAGUAAUAGAGCUGCAUGUAUCAAUGAAGCAGUGGUAUGGCAGUAAUAGAGCCGCAUGUAUCAAUGAAGCAGUGGUAUGUCAGUUAUAGAUCUACAUGUAUCAAUGAAGCAGUGGUAUGGCAGUAAUAGAGCUACAUGUAUCAAUGAAGCAGUGGUAUGGUAGUAAUAGAGCUGCAUGUAUCAAUGAAGCAGUGGUAUGGUAGUAAUAGAGCUGCUUGUAUCAAUGAAGCAGUGGUAUGGUAGUAAUAGAGCUGCAUGUAUCAAUGAAGCAGUGGUAUGGCAGUUAUAGAGCUGCAUGUAUCAAAUGAAGCAGUGGUAUCGCUGUAAUAGAACUACAUGUAUCAAUGAAGCAGUGGUAUGGAGGUUAUAGAGCUACAUGUAUCAAUGAAGCAGUGGUAUGGCAGUUAUAGAGCUACAUGUAUCAAUGAAGCAGUGGUAUGGCAGCAAUAGAGCUGCAUCUAUCAACGAAGCAGUGGCAUGGCAGUAAUAGAGCUACAUGUAUCAAUGAAGCAGUGGUAUGGCAGUGAAAGAGCUACAUGUAUCAAUGAAGCAGUAGUAUGGCAGUAAUAGAGCUACAUGUACCAAUGAAGCAGUCGUAUAGCAGUAAUAUCGCUUCAUGUAUCAAUGAAGCAGUGGUUAGGCAGUAAUAGAGCUACUUGUAUCAAUGAAGCAGUGGUAUGGCAGUUAUAGAGCUACUUGUAUCAAUAAAGCAGUGGUAUGGCAGUAAUAGAGCUACUUGUAUCAAUGAAGCAGUGGUAUGGCAGUAAUAGAGCUACUUGUAUCAAUGAAGCAGUGGUAUGGCAGUAAAAGAGCUAUAUGUAUCAAUGAAGCAGUGGUAUGGCAGUAAAAGAGCUACAUGUAUCAAUGAAGCAGUUGUAUAGCAGUAAUAGAGCUUCAUGUAUCAAUGAAGCAGUGGUAUGGCUGUAAUAGAGCUACAUGUACCAAUUGAGCAGUGAUAUGGCAGUAAUAGAGCUACAUGUAUCAAUUAAGCAGUGGUAUGGCAGUAAUAGAGCUACAUGUAUCAAUGAAGCAGUGGUAUGGCAGUGAUAGAGCUGCAUGUAUCAAUGAAACAGUGGUAUGGCAGUAAUAGAGCUGCAUGUAUCAAUGAAGCAGUGGUAUUGUAGUAAUAGAGCCUACAUGUAUCAAUGAAGCAGUGGUAUGACAGUAGUAGAGCUACAUGUAUCAAUGAAGCAGUGGUAUGGAAGUAAUAUAGCUACAUGUAUCAAUGAAGCAGAGGUAUGGCAGUAAUAGAGCUACAUGUAGCAAUGAAGCAGUGGUAUGGGAGUAAUAGAGGUACAUGUAUCAAUGUAGCAGUGGUAUGGCAGUUAUAAAGCUACAUGUAUCAAUGAAGCAGUGGUAUGGGUUCUGCCAGUUAUUAUUUUAAUUUAGAAAUGUUCAUCUUUAAGUUUACACAAGUUAUAAAAAUACUACAUAUAUUUUACUUCAAAUAUGCCUUUGUGGUCAUAAGAUAAGGUUACUGGCGGUACAUUUUCUUCUUAGUUUGGUGAGGACAGGGUGUAAUUAUGUGUACAUUGUUGUAGUUAUGCCCCCCUUCGAAGAAGAGGGGGUAUAUUGCUUUGCACAUGUCGGUCGGUCUGUCGGUAUGUCGGACUGUCGGUCGGUCCACCAGGUGGUUUCCGGAUGAUAGCUCAAGAACGCUUGGGCAAGGAUCAUGAAACUUCAUAGGUACAUUGAUCAUGACUGGCAGAUGACCCCUAUUGAUUUUGAGGUCACUAGGUCAAAGGUCAAGGUGACCCGAAAUAGUAAAAUGGUUUCCGGAUGAUAACUCAAGAACGCUUAGGCCAAGGAUCAUGAAACUUGAUAGGUAGAUUGAUCAUGACUUGCAGUUGACCCCUAUUGAUUUUCAGGUCACUAGGUCAAAGGUCAAGGUCAUGGUGGCCCGAAAUAGUAAAAUGGUUUCCGGAUGAUAACUCAAGAACGCUUAUGGCUAGGAUCAUGAAACUUCAUAGGUACAUUGAUCAUGACUGGCAGAUGAUAACUCAAGAACGCUAAAUUAUGCCUAGGAUCAUGAAUCUUCGUAGGCAGAUUGAUAAUGGCUGGCAGAUGACCCCUAUUGAUUUUCAGGUCACUAGGUCAAAGGUCAAGGUCACGGUGACCCGAAAUAGUAAAAUGGUUUCCGGAUGAUAACUCAAGAACGCUUAUGCCUAGGAUCAUGAAACUUCAUAUGUACAUUAAUCAUGACUCGCAGAUGACCCCUAUUGAUUUUCAGGUCACUAGGUCAAA